rnacentral:misc_RNA from 1 species
UCACGGUAUCAAGCUUGGCUUGGUGUUGGGCCCUUUGUCACCUGGUGACAGGUCUGAAAGACAAUGACUGGCGUAACAGACUCCAUAUGCAACGAGCUUAUAACAGCAUGCAUUUGGCAGUUGUGUGACCCGGUCUUCACCCUUUCUUUCUCAA